rnacentral:sRNA from 1 species
AUCGCUGCUAAUCUAUCCCUCGCUACUAAGUUAUCCCUCGCUGCUAAGCUAUCUAUCACUGCCAAUCUAUCUAUCGCUGUCAAUUUAUCUACCGCUGUCAAUCUAUCUAUCGCUGCUAAUCUGUCUAUCGCUGCCAAUCUAUAUAGGGUAAAUCAUGGUCCUGUUUGGUCCCAUUUUGUAAAAUGGGAUCAAAUGGGACCAGGACUGAUAAUUUAGAACUAAAACAUGAUCUGGAACUAGAAUUAUAAUAUAAAUCAUGUAAAGUGACUGAUUUGAUAAACACUAUAUGAGACCAGAACUAAGAUAUUUGAGAAUGGAACUGAGGAAAAAUUUGAUCCUGGUCCCAUGCAUGAUCACACGGCCAG